AUUGAACGCUGGCGGCAUGCCUUACACAUGCAAGUCGAACGGCAGCACUGGUGCUUGCCCCUGGUGGCGAGUGGCGAACGGGUGAGUAAUACAUCGGAACAUGUCCUGUAGUGGGGGAUAGCCCGGCGAAAGCCGGAUUAAUACCGCAUACGAUCUACGGAUGAAAGCGGGGGACCUUCGGGCCUCGCGCUAUAGGGUUGGCCGAUGGCUGAUUAGCUAGUUGGUGGGGUAAAGGCCUACCAAGGCGACGAUCAGUAGCUGGUCUGAGAGGACGACCAGCCACACUGGGACUGAGACACGGCCCAGACUCCUACGGGAGGCAGCAGUGGGGAAUUUUGGACAAUGGGCGAAAGCCUGAUCCAGCAAUGCCGCGUGUGUGAAGAAGGCCUUCGGGUUGUAAAGCACUUUUGUCCGGAAAGAAAUCCUUGGCCCUAAUACGGUCGGGGGAUGACGGUACCGGAAGAAUAAGCACCGGCUAACUACGUG
rnacentral:rRNA from 1 species